GUCAUUCAUCUGCUAUGAGACGCUGAUAGGAAACUCUUCAGCAUAUGCCUAAUCAGCCAUGCCUUCAGCAACUCAACUUGCCCGUUCCACGACAUCUGUCGCCAUCUCAUCGGAUACGUCCUUCUUUCCUCCAUCCUCUUCAGCUACUGCCUCUUCAGCCACCUGCUCUUCAGUCCCUUCCAUGUUCACAAUAUUAACUUGCUCAACUUGCUCACUUUGC
rnacentral:lncRNA from 1 species